UACGUAGGAUGCAAGCGUUGUCCGGAUUUACUGGGCGUAAAGCGCGCGCAGGCGGCACUCUAAGUCCGCUGUGAAAUAUCCCGGCUCAACCGGGAGGGUGCAGUGUAGACUAGGGAGCUAGAGGUCGGUAGAGGGGGGUGGAAUUGCUGGUGUAGCGGUGAAAUGCGUAGAGAUCAGCAGGAACACCCGUGGCGAAGGCGGCCCCCUGGGCCGUACCUGACGCUGAGGCGCGAAGGCUAGGGGAGCGAACGGG
rnacentral:rRNA from 1 species